rnacentral:rRNA from 1 species
GACGAACGCUGGCGGCGUGCUUAACACAUGCCAGUCGAACGGAAAGGCCCUGCUUUUGUGGGGUGCUCGAGUGGCGAACGGGUGAGUAACACGUGAGUAACCUGCCCUUGACUUUGGGAUAACUUCAGGAAACUGGGGCUAAUACCGGAUAGGAGCUCCUGCUGCAUGGUGGGGGUUGGAAAGUUUCGGCGGUUGGGGAUGGACUCGCGGCUUAUCAGCUUGUUGGUGGGGUAGUGGCUUACCAAGGCUUGGACGGGUAGCCGGCCUGAGAGGGUGACCGGCCACAUUGGGACUGAGAUACGGCCCAGACUCCUACGGGAGGCAGCAGUGGGGAAUAUUGCACAAUGGGCGGAAGCCUGAUGCAGCAACGCCGCGUGCGGGAUGACGGCCUUCGGGUUGUAAACCGCUUUCGCCUGUGACGAAGCGUGAGUGACGGUAAUGGGUAAAGAAGCACCGGCUAACUACGUG